rnacentral:rRNA from 1 species
GUCUACAGUCAUGCUACCCUGAACAAGCUCAAUCCCGUCUGAUCUCAGAAGCUAAGCAGGGUCGGGCCUGGUUAGUACUUGGAUGGGAGACCACCUACGAAGACCAGGUGCUCUAGGUG